AAUCCAUAGGUUAAUGAGGCGAACCGGGGGAACUGAAACAUCUAAGUACCCCGAGGAAAAGAAAUCAACCGAGAUUCCCCCAGUAGCGGCGAGCGAACGGGGAGGAGCCCAGAGCCUGAAUCAGCAUGUGUGUUAGUGGAAGCGUCUGGAAAGGCGCGCGAUACAGGGUGACAGCCCCGUACACAAAAGCGCAUGUGCUGUGAGCUCGAUGAGUAGGGCGGGACACGUGGUAUCCUGUCUGAAUAUGGGGGGACCAUCCUCCAAGGCUAAAUACUCCUGACUGACCGAUAGUGAACCAGUACCGUGAGGGAAAGGCGAAAAGAACCCCGGCGAGGGGAGUGAAAAAGAACCUGAAACCGUGUACGUACAAGCAGUGGGAGCACAGGUUUACCUGUGUGACUGCGUACCUUUUGUAUAAUGGGUCAGCGACUUAUAUUCUGUAGCAAGGUUAACCGAAUAGGGGAGCCGGAGGGAAACCGAGUCUUAAUUGGGCGUUAAGUUGCAGGGUAUAGACCCGAAACCCGGUGAUCUAGCCAUGGGCAGGUUGAAGGUUGGGUAACACUAACUGGAGGACCGAACCGACUAAUGUUGAAAAAUUAGCGGAUGACCUGUGGCUGGGGGUGAAAGGCCAAUCAAACCGGGAGAUAGCUGGUUCUCCCCGAAAGCUAUUUAGGUAGCGCCUCGUGAAUUCAUCUCCGGGGGUAGAGCACUGUUUCGGCUAGGGGGCCAUCCCGGCUUACCAACCCGAUGCAAACUGCGAAUACCGGAGAAUGUUAUCACGGGAGACACACGGCGGGUGCUAACGUCCGUCGUGAAGAGGGAAACAACCCAGACCGCCAGCUAAGGUCCCAAAGUCAUGGUUAAGUGGGAAACGAUGUGGGAAGGCCCAGACAGCCAGGAUGUUGGCUUAGAAGCAGCCAUCAUUUAAAGAAAGCGUAAUAGCUCACUGGUCGAGUCGGCCUGCGCGGAAGAUGUAACGGGGCUAAACCAUGCACCGAAGCUGCGGCAGCGACGCUUAUGCGUUGUUGGGUAGGGGAGCGUUCUGUAAGCCUGUGAAGGUGUGUCGUGAGGCAUGCUGGAGGUAUCAGAAGUGCGAAUGCUGACAUAAGUAACGAUAAAGCGGGUGAAAAGCCCGCUCGCCGGAAGACCAAGGGUUCCUGUCCAACGUUAAUCGGGGCAGGGUGAGUCGACCCCUAAGGCGAGGCCGAAAGGCGUAGUCGAUGGGAAACGGGUUAAUAUUCCCGUACUUGGUGUUACUGCGAAGGGGGGACGGAGAAGGCUAUGUUGGCCGGGCGACGGUUGUCCCGGUUUAAGCGUGUAGGUGUGUGUUCCAGGUAAAUCCGGUUCACUUUAACACUGAGGCGUGAUGACGAGGCACUACGGUGCUGAAGUAACAAAUGCCCUGCUUCCAGGAAAAGCCUCUAAGCAUCAGGUAACAUCAAAUCGUACCCCAAACCGACACAGGUGGUCAGGUAGAGAAUACCAAGGCGCUUGAGAGAACUCGGGUGAAGGAACUAGGCAAAAUGGUGCCGUAACUUCGGGAGAAGGCACGCUGACACGUAGGUGAAGUGAUUUACUCAUGGAGCUGAAGUCAGUCGAAGAUACCAGCUGGCUGCAACUGUUUAUUAAAAACACAGCACUGUGCAAACACGAAAGUGGACGUAUACGGUGUGACGCCUGCCCGGUGCCGGAAGGUUAAUUGAUGGGGUCAGCGCAAGCGAAGCUCCUGAUCGAAGCCCCGGUAAACGGCGGCCGUAACUAUAACGGUCCUAAGGUAGCGAAAUUCCUUGUCGGGUAAGUUCCGACCUGCACGAAUGGCGUAAUGAUGGCCAGGCUGUCUCCACCCGAGACUCAGUGAAAUUGAACUCGCUGUGAAGAUGCAGUGUACCCGCGGCAAGACGGAAAGACCCCGUGAACCUUUACUAUAGCUUGACACUGAACAUUGAGCCUUGAUGUGUAGGAUAG
rnacentral:rRNA from 1 species